rnacentral:lncRNA from 1 species
GGCCUGGCUUUGAGUGAGCCCGUUCUGUCCUCUGUCUCUGCUCUCUGGGGUACUCUUGGUCAGCCCAGCACAGGUGGGGCUGUACCUCUCACCCCGUGGGGGACCUGAGAUAGGGGAGCACGGGCUCAGACAUCCCCACUGCUGGAGUUCCAGAAGCCCACAGCUUCUCAUGUCUGCCUGGCCCAGGACUGGAGGGGCUGUCGGAGGGCAGGUGUCUCUUGUUUACUCAUGAGUAAGGACUGCAGUGUUAUAGCCAAGGAGCCCCCAGGCCACAUCAGAUGCUGCCAGACCUUUCCCUGCUGUUCCACAGCAGAACCUCACCAUGGAUUUAUCCCACUAUGCAGACAAGGAAGCCAGUAUACUCAGAAGGACUAAACUGUAAAAUGGUGUCCCUCUGAGUCAUCACAGGGGCUUGAAUCCAAACCCACUUUUCUUGUUCAGGUAGAUGUGGAGUCCACCCAACUUUCCCAUGCUGCUGCCCUUGCCCUGUCUCUGUCUCACGUGCACACGUCCCAGGAGGACCAGACCAGCUCCUGGGUUCAUGUCCUUACACUAGCCCUUCACCCUUCCCUCCACCAGGACUUCAUGGUGAUCCUGCCCUGCCUGCUCUGUAGUAUCUCAUCCCCCUACCCUGACACCAAGUUCCCACGGGCCUUCCUUCUCUGCCUGCUCUUCUGUCAGCUCCCUACAGCAUGGCCUUGUUUCCCUGGGAACAAUGUGUCUGUGUCACAGACAACAAUGUCCUUUCAUCUCAGGCACACUGGCGUAGUGCACCCUGGGACUGCACACAAAGGGUGCUUUGUGCCACAUGUGAGCUUCUUGCUUGCCGCAUUGGUGCUGCUGACCCAGGAUCCUGUCCUUGGGUCCUGAUUAUACAACAGUCAGUGGGGCUGUGGUGGGGUGAGCUGCUCUCCCCGCGCUCCCCCUAAGUUAACCCUUCUGGUGCAUCUGCUGCCCAGCAGCCAUCCUCCCUGCAGCCUCCCACAUUUUUUUUCCCCUCCCAGCUGGGCUUCACUGACUUGAACCUAGCCGAGUUUGCAGGCUCAGGCUCCACCGUCCGCUGCUGCCUAUUGGAAGGAUACGACACCAAGAAUACCCGCCAGGACAACUCCAUCCUCAAGGUACUAGGGCUCUGCCAUCUCUGCUGCCUUAACAAGGGGUAGUGGCGAAUAUAGCUCCUCAUUAGAAACACAAGUUCUCAGAAAGGCUGGGCCGAUGCUGGGCCUAAGUCUGGUCUCAGUUUUCUCAUGCAUAGUUGGGUGUGACCCCCCACCUUCCCGAAAGGGCUUGAUAAGCACCUUUGUCAGUCCUUUUUUAUCUCGUGACCCUAACUGCAAGCACAGUCUAUGCACGAGGUGUCUGUUAUUACAUCCAACUUUGAAUACAGGGAGUGGUGACAACCUAAAUCCCAUCAUUUGCCCUAGGUCAUAAGCAGAGCUGGCAUUAACCCACCAGUCAUGUAACCGCACAGCCUAGGCCCUAAUUGUUGCCCGACCUGAUCUGAGACCUGCUGGCUCCUGGUGAGCUAUCAGUGAGCAGAAUUCAUGUUCUGGACCCAUGUGCACCAUGUAGGGAUAGCGCU